UGGACGAGCUUGCUCGCGGUGGUA
rnacentral:siRNA from 1 species